rnacentral:rRNA from 1 species
GUCCACGCCGUAACGAUGAUUACUCGUUGUUAGCGAUAUAUUGUCAGCGACUGAGCGAAAGCAAUAAGUAAUCCACCUGGGGAGUACGUCGGCAACGAUGAAACUCAAAGGAAUUGACGGGGGCCCGCACAAGCGGAGGAACAUGUGGUUUAAUUCGAUGAUACGCGAGGAACCUUACCUGGGCUUAAAAUGUAGGACGACCGUUUGUGAAAGCAGACUUCCCGCAAGGGCGUCCUGCAAGGUGCUGCAUGGCUGUCGU